UAGACCAUGCAUUGCAACGAGAUGCCAAAAUAUUUUAUGAGAUAAUAUGUCCUGUAGAUUAACAUCAAAUUACCCAUCAUGAGUACAAUGCGGCUCAAGUUUAAUCAAAACUAAGAUACAGAUAUUUUGGCUAGGUGGUCAUGAGCACAAGUUUGUUUGACAAUGCUAGGAGAUUCUUAAAAUUAGUACCCCUAUUAUGUCGCUGGAAUGCACCACCUGGAAAAAGGAGAAAAUAUCAGCCUGAUGUGCAGAUAUCAGAAGACACAUAUCUUCCCGAAGGCCGUUGGCACUGAUGAUUCUAGAAAAUUGAGGCUGAACAUGCUGUAAACUUAUCUAGAAUAUAUCAGCAUGUCUGGUUAACUAUUCAUAUGUCAGCAUGCAUGUAUAGCUAUAUAAAAAAAAGACAGUUGUCUAGCACACAAAACAAUAUCAUUUUACUUUUAGGAUUGCAUCAAAUCCUAAAAGAAUCCUAAAAGGGCAUAAUUUCAAUCACUUUACCAGUUUGCAGUACCUAUAAAAUGAGCUCCUUCUUUAGACUCAAUACAAGUGGCAUACCUUUUCUGAACUGAAGAUCUCAAAGUGAUUAAAUGGCUUGUUUGUCAAAAGCAAACUUUAAACCAUUUUCCAAACAUAAACCUAGGAGAGCUCCAAAUCUGUUAACAUAUAACUGUUAUUCAUGGAAAAUAUAUAUGGAAAAAAAUCAAAGCCAAAAAAUGUGACCGAUGUACUUAAUUAGAUAGCCAACUCAUAAAUACUUACAAAUCGGUGACAUUGAGGUUCUUCCAAAGCGUUGUAUCAGAAUUAGAUAUGUCAGCUAGCUUAACUGCAAUUGAGACAUAUUAAUGUCAGCCAUUUGCACUAAAUAGAGAAGAAUCAGAUAAGGGCAAGAGAGUUCCUAAAAUAACGAGUAAGUAAAAAUGGGACAGAAAACUGAUUUCUUUCAGCUAGCUAUUAGUCACCCAUACAGUCAGAGACUUCGGUCCCAAGCAGGCAAGAGCCCUGUCCAACCAGUCCUUGGUGGCGGCGUUCCGGCUCCCUGCUAGCUUGGUCAGGCAUGACAAACUUGGAACUGUGUAGGAAUUGUUACAUAGGUCGGUUUGCUUUAGACAAAUAUACUUAAUUGUUAAAAAAUCAUAUAGGUUAAUCUUAUUUUGAAUUCUGUGCAUUAGGUACUGAUCGAUUUCAGAAACCAAUUUGUAAGUUGGACUGAUGGGUAUGGUAAUCUACAGAAUAACAUAAUAGCUUUACUGCAUGUUUUAGUACUCUGCUCUUAUUUUUUUUAGCCUUUUCAACUUAUGUCACAAUAAAGUUGUUUAAUUAUUCCAUUGUGAUAUGGAUUAACACAUUUAUAAACCUGAUAUCACAUAAAUACCCUCACAUGAUCAACUAAAUGAUCUGAUGUCAAAUUUGAUCUUUGCCUAAAUAUAUCGCUGGUAACCACUAUCUCAUGCCUUCUAGAUAGACACGUGGCAUCUUUAAGCCAUCCCAACCAUUACAGAAAUAAACACAUGAUUACUAAAGAUAUUGAUCAUCACUAUUUCUAUAAUUUCAUGACCACACCCAAAGUGUUUACUUUUAUUUAAGUAUGAUAUACUCAAGAAAUAAAGACUCAUACAUUAAGAUCAAUAACCAUCUUGGCACUAAGGACCCUGGCCAGUUCUCCAUGGGUUUGCUAAGAAUCCACAUUAAGAAGCAGAACAGCAGAAUCAUGUACAUAGAAAAGGGUAGUCAGUUUCAUUUAGGAAAAAAUAAAAAUCACCCAUG
rnacentral:lncRNA from 1 species